rnacentral:tRNA from 1 species
UCCCCGGUGGUUCAGUGGCUAAGAUGCUGAGCUCCCAAUGUAGGGGGCCUGGGUUCGAUUCCUAGUCAGGGAA